GGCCUCCUGGUGCUUACCCCAGGCUGUGUUCUUACACUGACUAUACAGAAAGAGGAAGCAAAGUAAACCUACCCCAAAUACAUCUCAGCCCAGGCCUUGUGCCUGGUCUGUGUUGUGAGUGUGGAGACAAAG
rnacentral:snoRNA from 1 species